AUUGAACGCUGGCGGCAGGCCUAACACAUGCAAGUCGAGCGAGCGGCGGACGGGUGAGUAAUGUCUGGGAAACUGCCUGAUGGAGGGGGAUAACUACUGGAAAAGGUAGCUAAUACCGCAUACCAUCAGAUGUGCCCAGAUGGGAUUAGCUCGUAGGUGGGGGAACGGCUCACCUAGGCGACGAUCCCUAGCUGGUCUGAGAGGAUGACCAGCAACACUGGAAGUGAGGCACGGUACAGACGCGGACGGGAGGCAGAAGUGGGGAAUAUUGGACAAUGGGCGAAAGCCGGAUGCAGCCAUGCGGCGUGUAUGAAGAAGGCCGUCGGUGUGUAAAGCACUUGUGGCAGGAAAGCGGUACCUGCAGAAUAAGCACCGGCUAACUACGUGCCAGCAGCCGCGGUAAUUC
rnacentral:rRNA from 1 species